rnacentral:rRNA from 1 species
UACGGAGGGUGCAAGCGUUGCUCGGAAUUAUUGGGCGUAAAGGGUAGGUAGGUGGUCUUAUUUGUCUAGGGUGAAAGCCUUGAGCUUAACUCAAGAAGUGCCCUAGAAACGGUAAGACUGGAGUCCUGGAGAGGGUCGUGGAAUUCCCGGUGUAGCGGUGAAAUGCGCAGAUAUCGGGAGGAACACCAAUGGCGAAGGCAGCUUGCUGGGACGGUACUGACGCUGAGGCGCGAAAGCGUGGGGGAGCAAACAGG